rnacentral:rRNA from 1 species
UUUCCUUGUUCUUUCCGCCUAUAUACCGCCGUCCGUCCAGUUUACCCUAUGAAGGCCUAAUAGUAAGCAAAAUCGGUACAACCCAAAACGUCAGGUCGAGGUGUAGCGUAUGGAAGGGGAAGAAAUGGGCUACAUUCCCUAUUAUAGGGUAUACGAAUGAUUUCGCUGAAAUGCAUUUCUGAAGGAGGAUUUAGCAGUAAGCAGGAAGUAGAGUGUCUUGCUGAAACCGGCUCUGAAGCGUGCACACACCGCCCGUCACUCUCCCCAAGCUAAUACAUUUAAAUAAUUAAAACGCCAUAACUGCAAAGGGGAGGCAAGUCGUAACAUGGUAAGUGUACCGGAAGGUGUACUUGGAAUAAUAUAUAA